rnacentral:rRNA from 1 species
AUACGAAAGGUGCAAGCGUUGUUCGGAUUUACUGGGCGUAAAGAGAUCGUAGGUGGUUUGUUAAGUCGGAUGUGAAAUCCCGGGGCUCAACCCCGGAACUGCAUUCGAUACUGGCAGACUAGAGUUUGGGAGGGGUAAGCGGAAUUCCGUGUGUAGCAGUGAAAUGCGUAGAUAUACGGAGGAACACCUGAGGCGAAGGCGGCUUACUGGACCAAUACUGACACUGAGGAUCGAAAGCGUGGGUAGCAAACGGGAUUAGAAACCCUAGUAGUCC